CCACCUUCUCCGACAAGGAGACCGUUUCCACCACAGGCACCACCUCCACCCUACCCACCGCCUGCGCCACCAGCGAGCCCACCAUUAGGGCCGCCUCCGGUUCCGCGGCCUCCACCCAGUCCACCACAUGCUCCACCUCCACCCUACCCACCGCCUGCGCCACCAGCGAGCCCGCCAUUAGGGCCGCCUCCAAUUCCGCGGCCUCCGUCUUUCCCUCCACAAGGACCACCGAGACCACCGCCUGUGGCCAGACCACCAUCACCACCGCACCCACCUCAUAGACCCCCACAACCGUACCCACCACCUUCCCCACCUCAUGGCCCAUCACCACCUCUACCCCCGGUGUCCAGGCCACCAGCUCCACCACCGCAACCACCUAGGAGGCCUCCACCCGCUUACCCACCACCGGCACCCCCACGUGGACCACCUUCACCUCCAGUGGCAAGACC